rnacentral:rRNA from 1 species
CGUGCAGGCGGUCUGUUAAGUCUGGCGUGAAAGCUCUCGGCUAAACCGGGAGAGGUCGUUGGAUACUGACGGACUAGAGGACGGUAGAGGCGUGUGGAAUUCCGGGUGUAGUGGUGAAAUGCGUAGAGAUCCGGAGGAACACCAGUGGCGAAGGCGACACGCUGGGCCGUACCUGACGCUAAGACGCGACAGCAUGGGGGAGCGAACG